GCGCUGGAGAACUGAGGGGGGCUGCUCCUAGUACGAGAGGACCGGAGUGGACGCAUCACUGGUGUUCGGGUUGUCAUGCCAAUGGCACUGCCCGGUAGCUAAAUGCGGAAGAGAUAAGUGCUGAAAGCAUCUAAGCACGAAACUUGCCCCGAGAUGAGUUCUCCCUGAGACUUAAAGUCUCCUGAAGGAACGUUGAAGACGACGACGUUGAUAGGCCGGGUGUGUAAGCGCAGCGAUGCGUUGAGCUAACCGGUACUAAUGAACCGUGAGGCUUAACCUUACAACGCCGAAG
rnacentral:rRNA from 1 species